CCUGGUGUACACCGGCAUGGUCCUCCAGGCGUCCUUUUCUAGCAUGCUAAGCCAUAGACAUAUUCAACCUCUGUCUCACACACAGCCCCUCCUCAGCAGGAGGGUUGAAUGGGGCUGAUGUGAAGGGCAGCAAAUUCCACCAGGAGACCCAGCAUGAGUCUGUUCUGAGCCCUCGUGGGGGCUCACAGAUCCUGUGGGCCAGGCCCCCUCUCCAGUGUGCUGCCAUCAGGGCAGAUGACAUUUCCAGCCUUGGCUGAGGUUCGACCUUGACUGAGUGCUGGGUGUUCCUCUGGUAAUUCAGCUCACCUCCCCCGCACUGGAGCCCUGGGAGCUGCAUUCUGGAGUCGGAGAGAAAUCAGGCUGGUGUCAGAUUCCACAGCCUUGGCUGUAGGACGGUACUGUUUGCUCUGUUAAGGGACUCUCUUCUUAACUUCUGGUGAACCUAGAAAGACCCAACGGAACAAAAUUAUUUUCUCAAACCUGGAAUAUGAAGCAAUAAAUAGAUCAAGAUAUAUACAAUUUAGAAGAUGAAGACAAGGAAGAGGAGGAGGAAGAAGAAUAAGAAAAUGAAGAUGAAGAAGGAGAAAAUAAAGAAGUAGGAAGAGAAGGAGGAGGAGGAAAAGAAGAAGGAGAAGAAAAUGAACCUCUGUGCAUUCUCUUUUCAGGCAUAGAAGGAUCAUCUCAGUAUCUCAGAAGCCUCUUUGACUUCUCAAAAUCCCUUCUUCCCUUUACCACUAGGAAACCUCUUUCCAAACUUUCCUUUUCUUUGUAGAUUUACAAUCCAUGCAAGUAUCCACAAAGGAUCUCUUGCUCGGUCUUGAGUGAGUAGCAAACACAACCUCAAUUGUUAUUAAAAAGUAGGUUCCUGGGAGAAGAUAGGUUCAAUUUCAUCUCCAGGUGCAAUUUUUUAGAUUUACUGUGCAGACAGUAUCCCUCUGGAAAGCUCGUGGGCAAUUCCGGGGUUGAACCUGGAAAAAUGGGCUCAAACACUGCUAAGGCAUCAAAUUGUGGGUCCAGCAGUGACAUGGUCUAUAAGACAGCUGCUCUCAUCUCUCCAGUUCUGACCUUCACUGUUCAGGAGAAGGCUAGAGGAGACGAUUUCUGUGAGGUGAAAUGAGGACCCUCAGCUGAUGCAAGCAGUAGGUCAUGGAGGAGAAAGAAUAAACGAUUAGAACAUGGACAAGAUAAGUAAAUAAGCUUAGCUGGGCACUCUGACCUUGAUUUUAAAGAAAGGCAGCAGGGAUCCUGCUCACAACCCUCUGGGCACCUCUCCGGGUGAGGGUGCUUCCAUCUGGAUUGUGUCCUCUGCUCAGCUCAGGGCCUCCCUUCAUCACCCCAAGGAUGCCUUUUUCUCUUUCUUUGUCGAUUUUCUCGUGUAUUCCAUGCCUUUUCUUUCUUGGUUUACUCUCUAAUUUUAGUAGUGUGCUUCCUUUAAUAGCUUUCUGAGAAAGAUUUUAUAGAAGAUCAAUUUCUGAGAACUUGUCUUAAGGUGUCUUUAUUUUAUACUCCUAUUCAAUCGAUAGUUUUCUUGGAUAUAGGAUAAUAAGUUCUGCAUCAUUUUUUUAAAAAAAUCUUUUUGCUUUUAGUGUCUUUCUUAAGAAGUCUAAAGCCCUGAUAUGGUUUGGAUCAAGAAUGUCCCCAGCAUCUCUUGGUCCCUCACUCAGCUAUGUUCAGAGGGAGCACUUUUAGGAAAUGAUUGGAUCAUGAGGGCUCUGACCUCAUCGAUGGAUUAAUUCAUUGAUAGCUGCAUGCACUGCUGGGAGUGGUAGAAAUUAUAGGCAGUCAGCACAGUUACAGGAAGUGGAUCAGUGGGGAUUUGUCCUGGAGGGAGACUUCUUGUGCUGGCCCCUCCCCUCCUUCCCACGUACUCUUUCUCUUUUUAUGCGUCCCUGUUGCAAUGAUCUGAGAAGUUGUCCUCUACUGUGCCCUUUCACCCUGAUGUUCUGCCUCUCCUCAGGCCCAAAGCAACGGAGCCAGCCAACCACACUGUCUGGGAACUUACAGGUUCUUUGGAAUGACUGCCGUGACUUGAAAUUUCACAUGAUGUAUUUUGGUGUGAAUCUCGGUGGUCACCUCAAGUUACUCAUGUCCUUAAGUUUUAAGGAUUAUCUUGAAUCAUUUCAUUGAUGAUUUCUGAUUUCCUUACUUUACUGUCUCUAAUUUCUUAAAAUUUAAGUGUCAGACCUCUUGGUUCUCUAAUUUUACUAUCUUCAUUUUCUGCUUCUCAUUUUUUGGUGUUUCUUACCAUUCUGGAAGAUUUCCUCAAAUUGACCCUCCAUCUAUUUUAUUGAGACAGUUAUUUUUGUCAUAAUAUUUGGAUUUCCAAGGUUUCUUUUUUGAUGUUUGAAUGAUUCUUAAAAAACCCCGGGGGCUGGGAUUAUGGCUCAGUGGCAGAGCACUUGCCUGGCAUGUGUGAUGCACUGGGUUCCAUCCAUAGCACCACAUAAAAAUGAAAUAAAGGUAUUGUGUGUUCACCUACAACUAAAAAAUAAAUAUUAAAAAAACACGCUGUGUUAUGUAGGCCAAAUUUUAUGACUUUGAAGAUAUUAAUUAUAUAAUAUAUAUAUAAUUUUACUAGUAGGGAUAUUAUAAGGUACCAUAAAUGUUUCUGAUUUUUAAAGUCUUUCAUUAUAUAAACAUAUAUGUAUAUACUAGUAUUUAUUUUCUCCAGGUUGAUUUUGUUCUAUUUGUUUUUUCAGUCUUCUCAGCCAUCUAUCAGUUCUUGGCUCCAAUAAGUACAGGGCUGAUUGGAAGUUCUGAAUUCAUAAUAAUUUUGAUCAUUUUCCCAUUAUACUGGGAUGUUGUAGAUGAACCAUUUGCUUGGGGGCCCCUAAUGUCAGUAUCUUAAGAUCUUUUCUCUCUCAUUCUCCAGAGAGUUUUUGAAUCUCCUACUGGAGAGGAAGGGUCUGUCCACCAGUGCAAUUGGGUUGAAUGAGAGGAAAAGGCUAGGGUAUCUCUGCAUGAAGCACUCGACAUACAGACUGUGUCUGAAGCCAUUACUGUGACUGGCGUUCCCUGGUGCUACUUAUGACUCUCUGUGCACUCACCAGAGAGGCAAGGAAGGAGUAGUGGCCCUGGGAGCAGCAUGAGCAAAGGGAUUUAGAGGUGGAUUUCUUCUCCAAGAGCUUCCAGCCAGUUCUCCUUAUUUCCCCUUCUUUACCCCCCCUCCCCCAUUCUGACUUUGUAAUCCUUGGACUAUCUGCAAUUCCCUUUCAAUUCUGCUUUCAAGCUGGACAUUCUAUUUGGAGCUUACAUUGUUUUUGUAGUCUCUUGUCAUAGGCCAACAAUAGAAGAAGACUUAUGACACCCAUGUUUUAUUCUCCCACUACUUGACUCAAGUCACAAGUUCAUUUGGUCCACAUUUCACAUUGUAGGCAACAUGCCACAUAUUUCAGAAUUUUUGCUGAUCGACAUCACCUUUCUGGUCCCAAUAUCUGUACACAUUAACUUCAAUUAAAUUAUGUUGCAAUAUUAAAUGCCCCCUCCAAAUCCUAGCACCCUGCAACAUCAAUGUUGGUUUCUUGCUUCUAUGCCUAUUAGCAACAGAUCACUCUUUGCUCUGUAGUUUUUGUUUUGUGAUUCAGUGUGAAGGAGCAGCUUCUCUUAGUCUAAAAGCAGAGGGAACAAAGCAAUGGCAGAACCAUGCAAUGACAUUAUGUAAAUUCCAUCAGAUAUAAAA